UACGUAGGGUGCAAGCGUUGUCCGGAAUUAUUGGGCGUAAAGAGCUCGUAGGCGGUUUGUCGCGUCUGCUGUGAAAACUCGGGGCUUAACUCCGGGCCUGCAGUGGGUACGGGCAGGACUAGAGUGCGGUAGGGGAGACUGGAAUUCCUGGUGUAGCGGUGAAAUGCGCAGAUAUCAGGAGGAACACCGGUGGCGAAGGCGGAUCUCUGGGCAGUAACUGACGCUGAGGAGGCGAAAGCGUGGGGAGCGAACAGG
rnacentral:rRNA from 1 species